rnacentral:rRNA from 1 species
GAGCGAAGCCUUCGGGCUUAGCGGCGGACGGGUGAGUAACGCGUGGGAACGUGCCCUUCACUACGGAAUAGUCCCGGGAAACUGGGUUUAAUACCGUAUACGCCCUUCGGGGGAAAGAAUUUCGGUGAAGGAUCGGCCCGCGUUAGAUUAGGUAGUUGGUGGGGUAAUGGCCUACCAAGCCUACGAUCUAUAGCUGGUUUGAGAGGAUGAUCAGCCACACUGGGACUGAGACACGGCCCAGACUCCUACGGGAGGCAGCAGUGGGGAAUCUUAGACAAUGGGGGCAACCCUUAUCUAGCCAUGCCGCGUGAGUGAUGAAGGCCUUAGGGUCGUAAAGCUCUUUCGCUGGGGAAGAUAAUGACGGAACCCAGUAAAGAAACCCCGGCUAACUCCGUGCCAGCAGCCGCGGUAAUACGGAGGGGGUUAGCGUUGUUCGGAAUUACUGGGCGUAAAGCGCGCGUAGGCGGACUGGAAAGUUGGGGGUGAAAUCCCGGGGCUCAACCUCGGAACUGCCUCCAAAACUAUCAGUCUAGAGUUCGAGAGAGGUGAGUGGAACUCCGAGUGUAGAGGUGAAAUUCGUAGAUAUUCGGAAGAACACCAGUGGCGAAGGCGGCUCACUGGCUC